GUAUUCAACAUAUUUAUUCUAAGGAAAAUUCUAUACGUACAUAAUGCUAUCCAGAAUGUUUUACCUAAUGUUGAUGUGUUGAUAAUUUGAAUUCAAAAAAACGUUCAAUAUGGUCAAAAUAUCUUCCACAUGGUAAAAAUCAUUUGAAAACAAAUCACAAUCUCUCUCUUUCAGUCUCUCGCUCUCUCUCUAAAACAAUAGUAAAAAUCAUUUCAAACCAAAAUCACCAUAUUCACAAUCUCUCUCUCUCUUUCAGACGCUCUCUCUAAAAUGGUUCGAAUCUCUCUCUCUACAACCCUAAUUUAGUUUUCGGCGGCGAAGAGGUCCGUCAAAUAGCCGGUUAAAAUCUUGAACGAACAAGUCGAGGAGAGCGGUGAAGACGACGGCAUCACACUUUCAAAUCUUCGGCGGCGAAGAGCUCCUUCAGGUUACGAUUUUCAAAUCUGACCUCCAUUUUAGGAGUUAUUUUCAUUGUUCUAUUACUGACUGCAGUAUUUGUGAUCUUCUCAAAUAUAGAACCAUGGGACCUUUAUAUGUUCACUAUAUGUCGGAUUUAGCUCUCGUUUGACCCCCAUUACCUGAAAAUGAAAAUGGGGGGAAUAAUAUUUUUUAGAAAAAUGAGUGGUUGAAAAAGAAGAAAAUUUUUUCGAUUUACGUAUAAUAUUAUUUCAUGGAAGAUUGUGUAGUUAAAAAUAGGAGAAUGAAAAAUAAAAUGUGAUGUAAUUGAAUUUAAUGGGGAUCAAACGAGGGCUAGUUAGCCCGAGGGUGCAUUUGAGAAAAUUUUUCCUUUUAUAUAUAGACACAAAUUAAAAUUCUAGAAAUUGAAGGAUUUAUGUAAUACCUAUUUUGUAUAUGUACAAUUUGCCCAGAUACAUCGCUGCAAUUUUUGUCUUGGUGCUGCAAUUUCGGACUUAUGUAGAUAUAAUUUGUGGUUAAUUAGGUUGGAACAAUAUGUAGCUACAAUUUUUAAAUAUAUGCACAAUUUGAAGGAAAUUGUAGGGUUUAUAUAAAAGUCCAAUUCACAGGAAAUAUCAGUGUCCGGGACUGCACAUGUUUUUGGUUGAGUUUCACACCAACCUGCUUGUUAGAUUUAUUCCUUUGUUUUGUUCGUGCUUUCAAUUUCUGAACAAGUGGGUUUUUUUUUUCUUUUUGGAUUAGGAUUGUUCCAUGGCCAAAAAGAACAGAGGAAUAUGUCAUACACAGAUGAAUAUGUCAUUCUUGUAGGGUGGCAAGACAAUAAAGGGAUGUUGUUCCAUUGUUGCACCCGCGAUUGUAGGCUUUUCAAGUUUUCUAACACUCCGCUCUACAAAGAGUAUCCAUUGCAAGGUGAAUCAAGUGGCACUACCAACGGAAGUGAAACGAUCGAUGAUUUGUUCCGUAUGUUGAGAACGUGUGCAAAAAUAACCGAGGAGAGAAACGUGGAGAUUUCAUUCAACUUAUUGUACUUAAAAUUCCUGUGAUGGUGGUCAUAGAAGCAAAUUUUUUGUUAAGAUGUCUUGAUCUAGAACGGUUUGUGUUGUAUGUAGUGAACUAUUACAAGCGUUCUCAAUCAAGUUUUUCAUAAUUUCUAUGGAUACACCCAAUUAUGCAAUUUUAAAAUUCAUGGCCUUGCUGCGGUUUCUCCUUGAACCUGUUGUACAAGUGAUAUUGCAGAUUCAGCAA
rnacentral:lncRNA from 1 species